ensembl:rRNA 5S_rRNA 5S ribosomal RNA
AGAGGGAGCAUACCACCCUGCAUCCCACUGCUGGCCUGCUACUGAAGCUAAGCAGGGUUGGUCCUGGAUGGGAGACCAGAUGCUGCUGGAAGUGGUGUUGGAGGGACAGUAGGAGGCACCCUUUC